rnacentral:tRNA from 1 species
GGUUCCAUAGUGUAGUGGUUAGCACAUCUACUUUACAUGCAGAAGUCCUAAGUUCACAACCCAGUGGAGCCA